rnacentral:lncRNA from 1 species
GAAGAAGAUUUUAGAUUUUCAUUUGACACAUUUCUAUCCUCUUCUUUACCUUCCUUAUUGUUAUCCUCCCCAAUCUUAUUGUCUACUACACGUCCACUCCUUAGGGUAGUCAAAGCAUUGGCUUGUCCAUGAUGAAUUGUAUUUAGUUGAUUUUCUUGAGCCAUGUACCUCUAGGAUUACUCACUGGUUGGCUUGGAAGCUUUCCUUCCUCUCGCUUGUUCAAUGCAUUAGCUAGUUGCCCCAUUUGAGAUUCUAGCUUGGCGAUAGAUUGCGUGUGAGAGUGCACCAAUUGUGUAAUGGUUUCCAAACCUUGAAGGGAGGUCAACACUUUCUCCUCAAAGGCUGUGUUUCUAUGGGGUGGAGGAGGAGUGUGUUGAAAUUGAGUCGAAGGACGGUAGGGAUUAAUAUUCUGGAAUGGUUGAAAGUUUUGGGAAUAAGGUUGGGAAGUAUUGGAAGUCUGCUGCUUCCAAGAAAAAUUCGGAUGGUUGCGCCAUCCUGGGUUAUAAGUGUUAGAAUACGGAUCAUUACCCGGUCUAGGCUGUGUUUGAGCAGCGUUGACUUGUUCUUGC